rnacentral:rRNA from 1 species
GUAAUACAUCGGAACGUACCCAGUAGUGGGGGAUAACGUAGCGAAAGCUACGCUAAUACCGCAUACGAACUACGGUUGAAAGCGGGGGAUCGCAAGACCCCGCGCUAUUGGAGCGGCCGAUGGCAGAUUAGCUAGUUGGUAGGGUAAAAGCCUACCAAGGCGACGAUCUGUAGCUGGUCUGAGAGGACGACCAGCCACACUGGGACUGAGACACGGCCCAGACUCCUACGGGAGGCAGCAGUGGGGAAUUUUGGACAAUGGGGGAAACCCUGAUCCAGCAAUGCCGCGUGUGUGAAGAAGGCCUUCGGGUUGUAAAGCACUUUUGGCAGGAACGAAACGGCUUGGGUUAAUACCUCGGGCUAAUGACGGUACCUGCAGAAUAAGCACCGGCUAACUACGUGCCAGCAGCCGCGGUAAUACGUAGGGAGCAAGCGUUAAUCGGAAUUACUGGGCGUAAAGCGAGCGCAGGCGGUUAUGUAAGACAGAUGUGAAAUCCCCGGGCUUAACCUGGGAACUGCAUUUGUGACUGCAUGGCUAGAGUGCGUCAGGGGGGGGUGGAAUUCCACGUGUAGCAGUGAAAUGCGUAGAGAUGUGGAGGAACACCGAUGGCGAAGGCAGCCCCCUGGGAUGACACUGACGCUCAUGCU